rnacentral:rRNA from 1 species
GACGUAGGGCGCGAGCGUUGUCCGGGUUUAUUGGGCGUAAAGAGCUCGUAGGCGGCUUGUUGCGUCGACUGUGAAAACCUGCGGCUCAACCGUGUGGUCUGCAGUCGAUACGGGCAGGCUGGAGUUCGGUAGGGGAGACUGGAAUUCCUGGUGGAGCGGUGAAAUGCGCAGAUAUCAGGAGGAACACCGGUGGCGAAGGCGGUUCUCUGGGCCUUACCUGACGCUGAGGAGCGAAAGCAUGGGGAGCAAACAGG